GACGAACGCUGGCGGCGUGCUUAACACAUGCAAGUCGAACGGUAAGGCUCUUCGGAGUACACGAGUGGCGAACGGGUGAGUAACACGUGAGCAAUCUACCCUUGACACUGGGAUAACAGUUGGAAACAGCUGCUAAUACCGGAUACGACCUCUUAGGGCAUCCUUUGAAGUGGAAAGCUCCGACGGUCAAGGAUGAGCUCGCGGCCUAUCAGCUUGUUGGUGAGGUAACGGCUCACCAAGGCGACGACGGGUAGCCGGCCUGAGAGGGCGACCGGCCACACUGGGACUGAGAUACGGCCCAGACUCCUACGGGAGGCAGCAGUGGGGAAUAUUGCACAAUGGGCGCAAGCCUGAUGCAGCAACGCCGCGUGCGGGAUGACGGCCUUCGGGUUGUAAACCGCUUUCAGCAGGGACGAAGCUAACGUGACGGUACCUGCAGAAGAAGCACCGGCUAACUACGUGCCAGCAGCCGCCGUAAGAC
rnacentral:rRNA from 1 species